rnacentral:tRNA from 3 species
GCGGAUGUGGCGGAAUUGGUAGACGCGCUAGUUUCAGGUACUAGUGAGAGCAAUCUUGUGGGAGUUCAAGUCUCCCCAUCCGCA